rnacentral:rRNA from 1 species
UACGGAGGGUGCAAGCGUUAUCCGGAUUUACUGGGUUUAAAGGGUGCGUAGGCGGGUUGUUAAGUCAGUGGUGAAAGAUUCGAGCUCAACUCGGAAACUGCCAUUGAUACUGACAAUCUUGAAUAUAGUUGAGGUGGGCGGAAUGUGUCAUGUAGCGGUGAAAUGCUUAGAUAUGACACAGAACACCGAUUGCGAAGGCAGCUUGCUAAACUAUUAUUGACGCUGAGGCACGAAAGCGUGGGGAGCGAACAGG